rnacentral:siRNA from 1 species
UGGUCGAAUUUCUCUUGAGCCUA